GUCCCGCCUUGAAUUGGGAGGCAUCUUGUAGCUUUUAAAGUCAAUAGUGUUCUGGCUCUGACAGAUUGCAGCAUAUGGACCGAGGUUGAGUUUUGCAAGUGCGCCUUUUAAUAGCUGACAAACAAGCAGACUCCAGACGAACAUCAUCUGCAAACAUGCAGCUGGGCUCCCUGGUGCAACGCCAUGAUGAGCCUCGCCGCUAAUGCACUCGCGCGCCGCUUAACUGUUAGCGGGUGUGCCGUUGUUGCUGUUCGCGCCCGUGCUAACGAGCUGCCGGAGCGGACGUCCAACUGUGUGAAGGUGGAACAAUAACAGCGGAUUCCAAUAAAGAACAGACGCAAUUUAAAGAAAGGAGCGCCGGACGUAACUCUUUGGGCUAAGAGAGAAAAAGGCGGGCGAGCAGCUUUAUGACAGCAGAGAAACAAUAACGGGAGAAGCUGGCCUGCUUUACAAGGCGAGUGGGGACGGCGAGGCGCGAGAUAAAUGUGUUUUAUCCCUCGCUGCAGCACGGACAGUCGGGGAAGGUGCGUUAGCUUUAAUGAGCGUGUGGAGGAACGCUGCGCUGUAAAUGUAGUGGAAAUAAUUUCACGCAGACGUGUCGGCAAACAAAAGUCUGUUGGAAAAAAAGCCCGCUUUUGGCCAAUUAAGGCGAUGCUCCAUUAUGGAAAUGAGAGGAGGGAAGCCUUGAGAGGUUGAAGCUCCCAUGCAGCCUAACCCCCCGCCUUCACACCACCCUUUCCACCACCCUCUCUUUAUGCAGGAACUUGUUUUUAAUCUACCCCUGCGCUCUACUUUGCAGCUCCCUCCAGUCACGGCGUUAUAUAACACGCCUUCUUCAUUUAAAGGAAGCUCUUGAUGUCGGCAAAUUUCCAAACUUGUUCUUCUCUUCAAGCACAAACGUGGUCGGAAAAAGGCCAUUCUGCUCCGCUGGUCUGACAGAUUCUGGAUUUUUUUUAAAGCAGCCUCCUCCGCCUCCUCCUCCUCCUCAUCAUCAUCAUCAUCAACAACAACAACAACAAUAACGAGGCACAAGAAACUAAAAGCUCAGCAGCACAAAAAUAAGAAAACAUCUAAUGCGCAAGGGGUUCUGCGGUUUAGAAAAGCAAAACGAGAAACGCACAAUCACAGAAAACCACCGCCCAGACGGCUUAAAAGAAUCGAAGCAAUACCAUUUGUGGCCCAUGGUGACGUCUCUUAAAAUCGUGCAACAUUUGAACAGGAUCCGUAUAAAACUGUGACCUGUGUACCGUGGACAAAAAAAUCUUCAGGGCGGUGAACACGGUGGAAGGACGACUAUCGAUCUGUAGGUAAAAUAAUUGUUCUCACUUCUCGCAGUUUGGCUGCUAGAAGUGGAGGAAGUCCAGAGACUGGGGAGUCUGGGCUUUCCUCACAACCUGGACCUAGACAAACGGAGGACAAUGGAUAACGGCCGUAGUAUCAGACGCAGGGACGUCACACCCCCCCGGGGGAUAUUUUUCAACCCCCCCGCACUUUUCCCACUGUCAUCAUCAUCCCAUUCCUGUUCCCUCCCUGGCAAUGGACACCUUGACGCCUUGUCCACAAAUACAAAAUGAUACGGUACAAGUAUCCUUCCGCACUGUUGCACGGCUUGUAUCGCAUCUGAUUAGAAGCUGGUUGACAGCUGUGUGAAAGGGAAUAGCGGAACUUUUUAACACCCAACAUUCUCUUCUGUUGUAUUGGAAGCGGCUGUCACAGUUGGUGAACAAUCUUAUAUGUCACAACAGACAUUGUCACAGAUUAUUAUACUAAUGAUCUAAAUGCAGCAUUGUGUAUCAAUGGUGUGAAAGUGCACUUGGAUAAUAUCUCGGAGACACUUUGUGAAAAGACACAAAAAUACAAAUUUCCCCAAAACUUCCUACAUACGGUAUUCUCACCAUGUGAGUCGCAACAAAUUAGCAUUUGAUCUGAUUUCAUUUCAAAAGUGUCAACUUUAAAAGAUGUUUUUGCAUUUUAUUAUCAACCGUUUUAAGGCAUUUUAAGGCUUAAGGUUCCCGGAACCAAGCGCAGAAAUUUUAGGACUUCCUUGGCUAAAACCUAUAAAAGAUUCAACUUGACUUUGACUUGAACUUCAUGACUUGACAAGUCUUGUCUUUGACAUUGUUUACAAGACCGUGUGCCGUUUGUCUUGUUUUCGGAAAGAAGAGUUAUUAUUUAUUAUUUUUUUGUGUGUGUGUUGUGCAGAAAAAAAUGGGAAAAGAGAGAAUGGCAAUAAGCAAGGCUUGCAAUCCAAAGAUAAGCGACAGGAGAAGUAUGACUUCUAAAUUCAUCCGUCACGAUAAAAAUCGCAAAGAAAAGUAAGCUAUGUUAACUUGGGAGUUUAGUUCACCGAUAGCCGGUUUUCCCCACAGUAACUUGCUUGAAAAUUUGAAAGAUUUGAGACUUACUUAUGACGUGCACAUGCUGUAAUUGACCUUCACCCACCUCCGGCCUUCACUCUUUCAUCGUUAAUAGUCGCGAGUUGUGCGUGUUCUCCUAAACCAGCAACUGGUGCAAGAGCGGGACUGAAAGUAAACAUUUGCGCUGACAUAGUGCCCGGGAUGGCCUUGGGUGGCGGCUUUCUUUUGAAUCAGAGCCUCGAAGUGAGAACAACGCUUGGAGGAGGAGGACGAAGAGGAGGAGGAAUUCCACUCGGCAGCGACUUUUUAAGAGGGCAGCGAGGCGAAAGUGGCGAGGGGGGAAAAAAAGGGGGGCGCAGGGCUCGUUAGCUAGACACAAAGUAGGCGCAGGCUUUCGUGUGAUCUUGGCUGUCCUCUGAUGUACAUGACAAAAGAAUCAUCCAACUGGAAGGAGAAGAAGGAGAAGGAGGAGAAGGAGGCCGGUGGACCCAGACAUGGGGGAGUCGCACUCAUCCUCGCAGUUGUCGAGAUAAUCGACGCCGCUGAAAACAAUCCUGGCACAUCUGAUUCCGUUGUAUCGCUGCUUGUAAAGCCACAACUCGACGGAACUAGACGAUUGUGAACAAAUUACAGUUGGCGACUGAGCCUCGCAGCUCUACCUACUCGAAACAACCUGUGACCCCUCGCUUGUAAGGAAACAGCAGGGAGCCUGGCUGCGAAUCAUGAAAAAUCAAGUGAUUGAUGCCCCCCUCAAAAUGUUUAUAAUUGUCUGGAUUCAUCAUUUAAACCAUAAAUAUACAACAAACUAUGAUCAAAAACAGUUCACAGUUCAUCAGGAUUCCCGACAUGACAUUCCGUCAACCCCUGUGACAAUCGUGUGCAAUUGAGGGUGACGCCCUCAACCCACCCAGCCGCCACCGCCAAGAGCCGGGAGAUGGACGGGAAAGACGGGGAGAAGAUAUUAACAAUAUUAAUGACCCGUGGUCCUCGUCUCCUUAAUGAGAAGGGUUAUUAACUGUGAUUAUCCGUGAUGGAGCGCCGGUAAUUCCCUGAAUGCUCAGGGAAAACUGGCCCGUAAAUCGUCCCGUCUUGACGAUGUGACGGCGCUUGAAGAGGCGGGAGAACAGGGUGAGACGCCAGAAGGAUGCAGAGGCGAAGGAAGGAAGGAAGCGAGCGCGUCAACCAAACUCUGGCAGCUAACGAGCGAGCCAACGCAUUGACGCUGCUGAAAUGCUGAGGCGGCACCUCUACACGCCUACUCACGAAUGCUGCAAUUACAGGAAGAAGUAGCGGGAUGGCUGAGUCCAUGGAGUGUCCUGUGCUUUUUGCAACUCUGUGUCCCUACCACAUACCGGUAGCACUCCCUGGUUAAGUAACUCUGUCCAAUCCAGUCAAGUCUUGUCCCGUCCUGUCCUAUUUGCUUUUUUUUUUUAACAUUCCUGUCACCCAGCGAUAGCACUGGCCGGCUUACUACCCCACUCCUGUCCUAUCCUAUUUUCUACUUGUUGCAUAUCUAACACACACUGGUACCACUGCCUGCCACACUACUUCAGUCCUAUUCAAUCCCGUUCAUUCUUGGCCUGUCCCAUUUUGUACUCACUGGAUCCCUACCUCAUAGGGUGUAGCACUGCCUGACUCGGUACCCCUGCCCUGUCCUAUGUGCUACUUGUCACGUCGCUACCACACACCCGUUGCACUGCCAGACUCAUUACCCAAGUCUUGUCCUAUUUUCUACUUGUCGCUUCCCUACAUCCCACUGCUAGAAUUGCCUUGCUCGCUAUUUCAGUCCAAUCCUGUCCUGUCUUGGCAUGUCGCAUUACGUACUUGUUGUGUCCCUACCUCACAGGAUGUAGCACAGCCUAGCUCAUUACCCCUGUCCUUUACUGUCCUAUCCUACUGGCUACUUGAAAAAGGCUGUCUGGUGACUCAUAUAUUGUAUAUGUGUGCACCUCAGUCAUGCCCUGCCCUAUUUGCUACUUGGGGCGUCGCUGCCUGGCUCCCUACCUCAGUCCUGCCCAGUACUGUUCCAUCCUGUCUCGUCUAUCCCUGUUUGGUACUUAUCACAUCCCAACCACACAUAAGCACUGACUGGCUCUCUACCUCAGACCUGUCCUGUCCCACCAUGCCCUGUUUGCUACUUCGUACGUCAAUUCGACACACUGGUAAUACUGCCUUGGUCACUAGCUAUGUUGGACCACCUGUCCAAUCCUGUUCUGUCCUGUCAUAUUUGUUACUUGUUAUGUCCUAACCACAUGCCGGCAGAACUGCCUUUUUUUACUUGCCAAGUCGUGUCCUGUCCUGUCCUAUUUGUUAAAAUAUACUGCACAGGGUAUAGCACAACUGUCUGGCUCACAAUCAGGAGUUGAAGGAAUUUAGAUUUUUCAUAGUCAACUCUAACGUGAUGAUAGUUGGGUCAACGUCGACUCAUCGUCUGCUGCUAGUUUGCUGCAUUGACCACUUGUGGAUUUCAGCAAGGCGUCCGUGUUAUUAAUGCAGAAAUGUGGUAGGUCAUUAAUCAAAUUCAAGCAACUGUCGUUGUAGAGUGGUAAAACCGAUGCGUCACAUGGUCGACUAAUCGGUUUAACCCCUACUCACUACCUCUGUCCUGUUCCGUCCUGUACUGUCAUUAGUUAUGCUAUUUUAGAGGAAGCGUAAAAUAUGAAGCAGGUGCGUAAAAGUCAGUUGGAGCAAGAUGAACGACUCCUGACUGGAAGUUACGGCGGCGAUGACGCUAACGGGCCCUUUGCUCGUUAGAUACUGGCCUUAAAAGCAUCUUUGGGAGUUUAGGCACCCCCUGCCUGCUCUUCUUCCUCCUCUUGCAUUUUUUGAGAUGACACUGUAUCACGGCAACACCUGCCGGGCCCAUUCCAGAUAAUAAUCCCGUUCCGACAUGCCGCCGCAGCGCUCACAGCGGACAAAUUGGAUUGUUUGCAUUAGUGGCCCGCUGAGCGCCGCUCGCUCGCUUUCUCGCUCGCUCUCUUUCUCUAACUCUCUCUCUCUCUCUCUCUCUCUCACUCUGCCGCUUUCUCACUCUCCUGCCUUGGGGGAUUUAUUAGAUUCAAGUGCUCCUUCAUAAACAAGCGCUCCUUUGCCAAAAAAGGUAAACAAGAAAAGAGGAAUAAGCUAAAUGCGGACAGGCCGGCGCUUUGUGGACACACUGCAUUUAUUUCCUCCAAUCAAAGGCCUUUAAUUGGAUUGAGGGCCGGCACCUGCUUUACACGCCGUCGAGCACGCCAUUGAUGUGUGUGCACUUGAUGUGUGUGUGUGUGUGUGUGUGUGUGUGUGUGCGUGUGUGUGUAACGGUAGGGGGAGGGAUUAAAAGCUUGUCUCACAACGCCUCGAUUUUUGACUGUGAUCAAUUUCAGAUCAAUAACAGGAUUCGUCAGCGCCUCGU